UCCACCCCUCACUUAGAGGCGUAGCAGGUGUGGCUGCUGUGUCACAUGUGCGUCAGCAGGUGGCAGAGAAGAGAGAGGCCAUGUCUAUACGCAGUGUUCUGACCUAAGAACAUCUGAAUGAUUAAUAGCCUAACAUUC
ensembl:snoRNA